rnacentral:snRNA from 1 species
GGAUGCGAGGGCAAUCUGGCUGUGACAUGUCACCCCAUUGAUCGCCAGGGUUGAUUCUGCUGAUCUGGCUGGCUAGGCGGGUGUCCCCUGCCUCCCUCACUGCUCCAUGUGCGUCCCUCCUGAAACUGCGUGCUCGGCCAAAGAGGACGACCUUGCCCGAUAGAGAAGGACUGCUCUUCAGUCAAGGGUAUACGAGUAGCUGUGCUCCCCUGCUAGAACCUCCAAACAAGCUCUCAAAAGAGUCCCAGAAGUUGACCAUUUCUCACCACCUUCAAGUCCCAUUAUUUCUU